AUUUAUGGGUUUUCUAUGGGGUGUCUAUGUGGAUUUAUGGGGUUUCUAUGGGGCAGCUAUGGGGCAUCUAUGGGGCAUCUAUUGGGAUUCUAUGGGUUAUCUAUGGGGCAGCUAUGGGGUUUCUAAGGGGUAUCUAUGGGGUUUCUAUGGGGUGUCUAUGGGGUGUCUAUGGCGUACCUAUGGGGUAUCUAUGGGGCAGCUAUGGGUGUCUAUGGGGUUUUUAUGGGGUAUCUAUGGGGUAUCUAUGGGAUUUAUGGGGUUUCUCUGGGGUAUCUAUGGAGCAGCUAUGGGGUAUCUAUGCGGUUUUUAUGGGGUAUCUAUGGGAUUUAUGGGGUUUCUCUGGGGUAUCUCUGGGGUAUCUAUGGGGGAUUUAUGGGGGAUUAUUGGGGUAUCUAUGGGGUUUCUAUGGGGUUUCUAUGGAGUUUCUAUGGGGUAUCUAUGGGGGAUUUAUGGGGUAUCUAUGGGGUACCUAUGGGGUUUGUAUGGGCAGCUAUGGGGUAUCUAUGGGGUGUCUAUGGGGAUUUAUGGGGUAUCUAUGGGGUACCUAUGGGGUAUGUAUGGGCAGCUAUGGGGUUUCUAUGGGGUUUCUAUCGGGAUUUAUGGGGUAUGUAUGGGGUAUGUAUGGGGCAGGUAUGGGGUAUGUAUGGGGUACCUAUGGGGUAUCUAUGGGGUACCUAUGGGGAUUUAUGGGGUAUCUAUGGGGUACCUAUGGUGAAUGUAUGGGGCAGCUAUGGGGUGUCUAUGGGGUAUCUAUGGGGGAUUUAUGGGGUUUCUAUGGGGUACCUAUGGGGUAUGUAUGGGGUACCUAUGGGGUAUCUAUGGGGUACCUAUGGGGAAUGUAUGGGGCAGCUAUGGGGUGUCUAUGGGGUAUCUAUGGGGGAUUUAUGGGGUUUCUAUGGGGUACCUAUGGGGUAUGUAUGGGGUACCUAUGGGGUAUGUAUGGGGCAGCUAUGGGGUAUCUAUGGGGUGUCUAUGGGGAUUUAUGGGGUAUCUAUGGGGUUUCUAUGGGGAUUUAUGGAGUAUCUAUGGGGUACCUAUGGGGUAUGUAUGGGGUACCUAUGGGGUAUGUAUGGGCAGCUAUGGGGUAUCUAUGGGGUUUCUAUGGGGAUUUAUGGAGUAUCUAUGGGGUACCUAUGGGGUAUGUAUGGGGUACCUAUGGGGUAUCUAUGGGGUACCUAUGGGGAAUGUAUGGGGCAGCUAUGGGGUGUCUAUGGGGUAUCUAUGGGGGAUUUAUGGGGUUUCUAUGGGGUACCUAUGGGGUAUGUAUGGGGUACCUAUGGGGUAUCUAUGGGGUACCUAUGGGGUAUGUAUGGGGCAGCUAUGGGGUAUCUAUGGGGAUUUAUGGGGUAUCUAUGGGGUAGCUAUGGGGUAUGUAUGGGCAGCUAUGGGGUAUCUAUGGGGUUUCCAUGGGGAUUUAUGGGGUAUCUAUGGGGUAUCCAUGGGGGAUUUACGGGGUUUCUAUGGGGU
rnacentral:lncRNA from 1 species